CAGGGCUUUCCUUGCACCACUCGUUCUAAAGCUGGAUUCCAAAUCAAUCAUUACCAAGCAAGGAGCUUAAAGGUUAAAGCAAAGAUGGAUUCUGGUGAUGGCGAGACACAACUCGCUCCAGUUAAAUUCGAAACCCCAAGUGGUCAACUUCUGGCGCAGAUGCUGCAAUCGCAGCCUCACCUAAUCCCUGUAACAGUUGAUCAACAACUUGAAAACCUGACAGCAGAGAAAAUUGCCCAAAAGGAAAAGGCUGCAAAAGUUCCCGAGGACCUCCUUUACAAGCGAAUUGCAGAAGUCAAAGAGAAGGAAAGACAGAAUACCCUGGAAGAGAUCAUCUACUGCUGGAUUUUGUUCAAGUUCAUGGAAAAUGACGUACAAAUGACACCUGCAUUAUCAUCAUCAGGUGGCCCUGUAGGCGACGUCUCCUCGUUGCCUAACCAGGAGUAUAAGCUGCAAAACAUACACUCUCAAGACGCUCUUGAGAUGAUACAGAACCAUCUCAACCUUAUCAUGGGGGAGCAGGCAGCAGCGCCACUAGAUACCGUUGUUGAGAUCAGCAACUUAAAUCUCGGGAAGCUCUACGCAGCAUCCAUCAUGUAUGGUUACUUCCUCAAGAGGGUGGACGAGCGAUUCCAACUCGAGAAAACCAUGAAGACGCUCCCACCAAGCCUCAACGAAAAACUAUUUACGGAGAGAGACAUUAAGCCUAAUCCAUUCAUGGACAUGGAGUCCCUGGUACGGAUGACGCCUGAUGGGGAGAUGGUUGAUGUGGAGGAGGACGAGGAAACAAACCCAAACAAGCUGAGGUCCUACGUCUCGCGGCUGGACGCCGAUACGUUGCAACGGUACGCUACCAUCAGGUCCAAGGAAUCGGUCUCGCUGAUAGAGAAGCAAACGCAGGCUCUGUUUGGUCGGCCGGAUAUCAAAGUGCUGGAUGAUGGCUCUGUUAACGCUAAAGAUGGUAAAACUUUGACGCUUACGUUUACAGAGCUCACGCACCUUGUCCUGGAGGCGGCUGGUUUCGGGGCCUUUUUGUGGGAGGCUGAGAGCCAUGUAGAAUCCAAAUACCAUUUUGUUAACAGUUGA
rnacentral:rRNA from 1 species